CUAGUCUUCCCAAACUAUGCGUAAAACACUACCUAACAUUUGUCUCAAUACACAAUAAUUUUUAGAUACAGUAAUACUAAACUACCUCAUCUUCUCCAACAAAUCAUAACCCUAACCAUUGCCGGCAACCACCGCCUCCCACCGGCGCCGUUCCCUUCUCAGCCUCUCUCAACUUCCCACGGCCACCGCCCCUCCCCAGCAUACUCCCCCUCCCGCCACUGCUUUCUCCUCUAGGAGAUUGAAACCCAGAUGAUGAAAUGAGGUUUCUUCAAGCAGAGAGAUGGGAAGUUUCUGAAGGUGGUUGCCCCUCUCUGUAAUCUGUACAAUACAGAAAAAGAAGCCCAGGAUUUCGUCUUCAUCUCUAAAUUUCAACAACCCUUUGGGUGUGUGAGUUUGUGGGAAGAUGAUGUUUGCAUGUUCUGGGACUAUAAUAGAAUGCGAGGAUGUUAAUGGAACAUUCAUCAAUACCGUUUUGACUUUUGCGACUCUCCUAAGAUCACCUAUUGAUGCAAAUGCUAUACCAAAUGACAUUAAGGUUGAGGUUGAUCUUUAUGUAACGAAUGAUAAACCAUUUAACGGUCAACCAUUUUCACUUCAACAUUGCUACCAUUAGUAUUGAAACAGAUGUAGCAUUGCCAACUGCAAUCAUUAGACCUUUGGAUGAUUCAAUCUCAAUAGAUCCAAGUGAGAUCUCUUGUACUAGGGACAAUGAGGUGGCUUACAAUCGUUUCAGCUUCAUCGUCAUUCAAAUUUAUUUAGACUUGUCCAGGAGAUAUGGUUGUGGCCAUUGGCCACUCCUGUGGUAGAACCCAUGCUCUUAUGGCUGCUUCUGGCAAAUUCAGUCUUGACUGCUGCAAAUUUGAUUGCAAAGAGCUUUUCAGGGCAAAUUGCAUUAUUGCAAAAAGUGGUAUCGGGGGACCCCUUAUCAAUCGUUAUGGAGAAGUCAUUGGAGUCAAUUUUUACGAUGAUGUUUGUACCCCUUUUCUGCCGAUCAAUAUUGUUUCCAAAUGCUUGUCGCGAUUCAAAAAAAAUGGGAAAUCCCGUCGACCUUGGCUUGGCAUGGCAUGGAAAUGACUAAUCUUUAUGCGGCAAGUGUAGGCAAGUUGGAAAAGAUUAUCUCGAAGUCCAAUAUCUCCAAAGGUGUUCUUGUUGAAGAGGGAUAAGUUCACAUGUCAAGGUAUGGGGUUCUGCAGUCACAGUGUUUUUAAAGGCUCAAGGCGAGCCAAGGCGCCGAAGGUCUCUUGGGGCUUAAGUGCAAGGCGAGGCACACUUCAUUGCAGCAAGAUGUGAACAAUGAAAUAGGCAAAGUCAAAAAUGAAAAGUUUCUAGAUUCCUUUGAGCCAAGGCCAUACCCCUUGAUCAACUGAGAGUGUGGAUGGAUUGCUAGCUGGAGAUUUUUUACGCAUCCAUUAUUGCCACAGAAUCCCUUGGUCUUUGCUAUCGGAACCCUAGGUUGUUGUCGAAGCCCUUGGAUCAAGCAAGAGUACAAGCAGCCACAGAAGCAAUUUGCAAGAAGUUUCAUCCCGGGGCUUUCUAUGAAAUCAAUUGACUCGAGGGGGUGAAACUGCUCGUCUUUGAAGCAUAGCCUGCUCGGGCAUUGACUGAGCUUUGUCAUAGCUGUGGCAGGCAGCCUUUCUAUUGGGGAUUCAGAUGGUGGGUGACACUAGAAUUGCAACGGGGGAAAGGUUUUUUAUUUUUUAUUUUUUUUUAAUAAUUGAGAAAAUAAUUAAAAAUAGAAAUAAGUUUCUCAGAAUCUCAAUGUUUUAUAUGUAGUGUAUGAUAUAUGGUUGUAAACAAUAGAAAUUGCAUGAAUGUCGCAAUUAACAGACAGAUCAUUCUGAUACACUUGGUUGGAUUUGCAAUUCCAGAUAGAAUGAACACACCUUUUUUUUAGUGUA